ACCCCAGUUGGUGCCGCAUCCCCAUCCCAUAGCCAUGGCCGCCUACAAACUGGUGCUGAUCCGGCACGGCGAGAGCGCUUGGAACUUGGAGAACCGCUUCAGCGGCUAGUAGGGCGCCGAUCUGAGCCCGGCGGGCCACGAGGAGGCGAAGUGUGGGGGGCAGGCGCUGCGAGUUGCUGGCUAUGAGUUUGAUAUCUGCUUCACCUCAGUGCAGAAGAGAGCGAUCCAGACCCUCUGGACAGUGCUAGAUGCCAUUGAUCAGAUGUGGCUGCCAGUAGUGAGGACUUGGCGCCUCAAUGAGCAGCACUGUGGGGAUCUAACUGGUCUCAAUAAAGCAGAAACUGCUGCAAAGCAUGGUGAGGCCCAGGUGAAGACAUGGAGGUGCUCCUGUGAUGUCCCACCACCUCCGAUGGAGCCCGACCGUCCUUUCUACAGCAUCAGUAAGGAUCACAGGUAUGCAGACCUCACAGAAGAUCAGUUACCCUCCUGUGAGAGUCUGAAGGACACGAUUGCUAGAGCUCUGCCCUUCUGGAAUGAAGAAAUAGUUCCCCAGAUCAAUGAGGGGAAAUGGGUACUGAUUGCAGCGAAUGGCAACAGCCUCCGGGGCAUUGUCAAGCAUCUGGAGGGUCUCUCUGAAGAGGCUAUCAUGGAGCUUAACUUGUUGACUGGUAUACCCAUUGUCUAUGAAUUGGACAAGAAUUUGAAACCCAUCAAGCCCGUGCGGUUCCUGGGGGAUGAAGAGACCGUGCGUAAAGCCAUGGAAGCUGUGGCUGCCCAUGGGAAAGCCAAGAAGUGAAGGCUGGCGGGCAGGCUGCUGUCCCCAGGAGCACCCUCCCUGCCUGUUGCAUCCCUCUACCCCUCCCUCCUGCACGUCACACUGACCACAUCUGUAGACAACUUGAGUUGUAGCUGCAGAUGGGGACUGGUGGCUCCCAUUUUCAUUUUAGCCAUUUUGUCUCCUGUACCCACUCCCUUCAUACAUUCUAGUCAGAAUUGCACUUCUAGGGCACAGGUUCUCAGUCCAAGCUGUAGAAAGGCUCCCCUUAUCCAAGAGAGUUGAAAGGUAGUGAGAGCUUUUGCAAGUGCUUUGUUUACUAAUGACUUGAAGGGAGGAACAUGCUAAGCUGUGACCAAUGAAGAGAAGCAAGAGAGCCUGUCUGCCCCCAGGAGCCAGUCCUCUGCUCAUCUGCAGUCAGGCCACUGCCUGGGGGCUCUAGUCAUUCCAGUGGCAGAUGAAUGUAACCUGCAUGGUGCUGUGACAACUGUCUCCUCCCUGACCCCAGAGAAGCUGGCUCUAGAAGGUUGGGAUGAAUCCUGAAUUUAGUUUAGGUGUUACAUUUACUUUUAUAUAAAAAA